rnacentral:rRNA from 1 species
CCUACGGGAGGCUGCAGUGGGGAAUAUUGCACAAUGGGCGAAACCCUGAUGCAGCGACGCCGCGUGAGUGAAGAAGUAUCUCGGUACGUAAAGCUCUAUCAGCAGGGAAGAAAAUGGCGGUACCUGACUAAGAAGCCCCGGCUCACUACGUGCCAGCAGCCGCGGUAAUACGUCGGGGGCACGCGUUAUCCGGAUUUAAUGGGGGUAAAGGGAGCGUAGACGGCGGCACAAGGCUGGAGGGAAAUCCCGGGGCUUAACCCCGGAAGUGCUUUGGAAACUGUGCGGCUGGAGUGCAGGCGGGGUAAGUGGAAUUCCUGGUGUAGCGGUGAAAUGCGUAGAUAUUAGGAGGAACACCGGUGGCGAAGGCGGCGUACUGGACUAAGACUGACGUUGAGGCUCGAAAGCGUGGGGAGCAAACAGGAUUAGAUACCCCUGUAGUC